UUGGAGAGUUUGAUUCUGGCUCAGGACGAACGCUGGCGGCGUGCUUAACACAUGCAAGUCGAACGGUAAGGCCCUUCGGGGUACACGAGUGGCGAACGGGUGAGUAACACGUGGGUAAUCUGCCCUGCACAUCGGGAUAAGCCUGGGAAACUGGGUCUAAUACCGAAUAGGACCACAGAACACAUGUCCUGUGGUGGAAAGCUUUUGCGGUGUGGGAUGGGCCCGCGGCCUAUCAGCUUGUUGGUGGGGUGAUGGCCCACCAAGGCGACGACGGGUAGCCGGCCUGAGAGGGUGUCCGGCCACACUGGGACUGAGAUACGGCCCAGACUCCUACGGGAGGCAGCAGUGGGGAAUAUUGCACAAUGGGCGAAAGCCUGAUGCAGCGACGCCGCGUGGGGGAUGACGGCCUUCGGGUUGUAAACCUCUUUCACCAUCGACGAAGGUUCGGGUUUUCUCGGAUUGACGGUAGGUGGAGAAGAAGCACCGGCCAACUACGUGCCAGCAGCCGCGGUAAUACGUAGGGUGCGAGCGUUGUCCGGAAUUACUGGGCGUAAAGAGCUCGUAGGUGGUUUGUCGCGUUGUUCGUGAAAUCUCACGGCUUAACUGUGAGCGUGCGGGCGAUACGGGCAGACUUGAGUACUGCAGGGGAGACUGGAAUUCCUGGUGUAGCGGUGGAAUGCGCAGAUAUCAGGAGGAACACCGGUGGCGAAGGCGGGUCUCUGGGCAGUAACUGACGCUGAGGAGCGAAAGCGUGGGGAGCGAACAGGAUUAGAUACCCUGGUAGUCCACGCCGUAAACGGUGGGUACUAGGUGUGGGUUUCCUUCCUUGGGAUCCGUGCCGUAGCUAACGCAUUAAGUACCCCGCCUGGGGAGUACGGCCGCAAGGCUAAAACUCAAAGAAAUUGACGGGGGCCCGCACAAGCGGCGGAGCAUGUGGAUUAAUUCGAUGCAACGCGAAGAACCUUACCUGGGUUUGACAUGCACAGGACGCCGGCAGAGAUGUCGGUUCCCUUGUGGCCUGUGUGCAGGUGGUGCAUGGCUGUCGUCAGCUCGUGUCGUGAGAUGUUGGGUUAAGUCCCGCAACGAGCGCAACCCUUGUCUCAUGUUGCCAGCGGGUAAUGCCGGGGACUCGUGAGAGACUGCCGGGGUCAACUCGGAGGAAGGUGGGGAUGACGUCAAGUCAUCAUGCCCCUUAUGUCCAGGGCUUCACACAUGCUACAAUGGCCGGUACAAAGGGCUGCGAUGCCGCGAGGUUAAGCGAAUCCUUUUAAAGCCGGUCUCAGUUCGGAUCGGGGUCUGCAACUCGACCCCGUGAAGUCGGAGUCGCUAGUAAUCGCAGAUCAGCAACGCUGCGGUGAAUACGUUCCCGGGCCUUGUACACACCGCCCGUCACGUCAUGAAAGUCGGUAACACCCGAAGCCAGUGGCCUAACCCUUUGGGAGGGAGCUGUCGAAGGUGGGAUCGGCGAUUGGGACGAAGUCGUAACAAGGUAGCCGUACCGGAAGGUGCGGCUGGAUCACCUCCUUU
rnacentral:rRNA from 1 species